UGAAGAUGAUCCAAAUAGAUGACGAGUCCGAUUUUAUAUGAAGGAUACAUUCUUUACAAUAACCAUUCAUGCCUAUCUGAAA
rnacentral:snoRNA from 1 species